GAUGAACGCUGGCUGUGUGCCUAAUACAUGCAUGUCGAGCGGAGUUCUUCGGAACUUAGCGGCGAAUGGGUGAGUAACACGUACUUAACGUGCCCCCUUGAUUGGGAUAACGCUGAGAAAUUAGCGCUAAUACCGGAUACUUAAAUAUCUCGCAUGAGGUAUUUAUAAAAGGAGCCUUUAAAGCUUCACAAGGGGAUCGGGGUGCGUAACAUUAGCUAGUUGGUGAGGUAAUGGCUCACCAAGGCGAUGAUGUUUAGCGGGGUUGAGAGACUGAUCCGCCACACUGGGACUGAGAUACGGCCCAGACUCCUACGGGAGGCAGCAGUAGGGAAUUUCCACAAUGGGCGAAAGCCUGAUGGAGCGACACAGCGUGCAGGAUGAAGGCCUUCGGGUUGUAAACUGCUGUUAUAAGGGAAGAAAAAGUCGAGGAGGAAAUGCCUUGACCUUGACGGUACCUUAUCAGAAAGCAACGGCUAACUAUGUGCCAGCAGCCGCGGUAAUACAUAGGUUGCAAGCGUUAUCCGGAAUUAUUGGGCGUAAAGCGUCUGUAGGUUGUUUGUUAAGUCUGGUGUGAAAACUUGGGGCUCAACCCCAAAUUGCAUUGGAUACUGGCAAACUAGAGUUAUGUAGAGGUAAGCGGAAUUCCUUGUGAAGCGGUGAAAUGCGUAGAUAUAAGGAAGAACACCAACUUGGCGAAGGCAGCUUACUGGACAUACACUGACACUGAGAGACGAAAGCGUGGGGAGCAAACAGGAUUAGAUACCCUGGUAGUCCACGCCGUAAACGAUGAUGAUUAGCUGAUGGGGAACUCAUCGGGCGCAGCUAACGCAUUAAAUCAUCCGCCUGAGUAGUAUGCUCGCAAGAGUGAAACUUAAAGGAAUUGACGGGGAUCCGCACAAGCGGUGGAGCAUGUGGUUUAAUUUGAAGAUACGCGUAGAACCUUACCCACUCUUGACAUCUUCUGCAAAGCUAUAGAGAUAUAGUCGAGGUUAACAGAAUGACAGAUGGUGCAUGGUUGUCGUCAGCUCGUGUCGUGAGAUGUUCGGUUAAGUCCUGCAACGAGCGCAACCCUUGUCCUUAGUUAAAUGUUCUAGGGAGACUGCCCGGGUAACCGGGAGGAAGGUGGGGACGACGUCAAAUCAUCAUGCCUCUUACGAGUGGGGCAACACACGUGCUACAAUGGAUGGUACAAAGAGACGCAAUACGGCGACGUGGAGCAAAUCUCAAAAAACCAUUCUCAGUUCGGAUUGUAGUCUGCAACUCGACUACAUGAAGUCGGAAUCGCUAGUAAUCGUAGAUCAGCUACGCUACGGUGAAUACGUUCUCGGGUCUUGUACACACCGACCCGUCACACCAUGGGAGCUGGUAAUGCCCGAAGUCGGUUUUGUUAACCACGGAGACAACUGCCUAAGGCAGGACUGGUGGACUGGGGUG
rnacentral:rRNA from 2 species